rnacentral:lncRNA from 1 species
UGGAAAACUUGAGGUAGUUGUAAGAUCAAUAGUAGAAAAUAGAGAAGGAGGAAACCCACUGGCCCAAGCUCGAUGCAUUUCUGUCAUUUGUUGCCUUAGUCUCCUAAUCUCUUGCUUUAAACACUUAUUUUCAUAACUCAUUGUUUGAUCCAUGAUGCCACUCUCUAUAUCUUUGUUGGACACAACAAACCCUUUGAAUUUGGUGUGAUGUGGAGGACCAUCCAGAAUGCCACAAACCAACCACCUUAAACUGACUAAAAAAAAAAAAAAUGUGUUAGAGUUCAACACUUUUUCAAAACUCUUUUUCCUUUUUUCUUUGAAAAGAUCACUGAACCCAAGAGGGGUGCCUACGUAUCUCACUCCCGAGAGAGGAGAAUCAGGUGUGCGUAGUUCGUGAAGUCUUGCCAAAAUAGCCAAUUAACCUCUUUUUCUUCUUUUUCUUGGAACUUUAAGAAGAAAAGAAAAUAACAAAUUAUCAAAACAAUUGACAAAAAUCUUUUUUGCAUUUUUCAGGUUUAAAUCCCUACACAAAAAUGAAACUUAUAACUACCAAAGAAAAAUCUUUUUGGGUUUUCAAUUUUGAAUUUCAUAUGAAAAUGAAACUUGAAACUAUUAAAGAAGAAAAAAUCUUUUUGUCGUUUUCUUUUAGAAGAUGUAUAUGAACACCUACUCUAAAUGAAGAGUGAAGAAAAUCGUUUUGAAUUUUUCAGAUUUCUAUACAAAAUGAAACCUAUGAUUACCAAAGAAAAAUCUUUUGGGGUUUACAAUUUUCAAUUUCAUAUGAAAAUAAACUUGAAACUUUAAAGAAAAUCUUUUUCUAGUUUUCUUUUAAAGAAGUAUAUAACACCUACUCUAAUAAAGAGUGAAUAAAAUCUUUUUCGGAUUUUCAAAUAAGAUCCCGGAAUCAACAAUUGGCUGCCUACGUAUUCAGGGGUACGCAGUUCAUCCAAAUUGGACAAUUAAGGAUUUAAUAACCAACACCCUAACUUGAGAGACACGAGCACAAACAGAAGAUGCAAAACGUCAAUAAAAUCUUUUUGAGUUUUCAAUUUGACACUUCACAUAAAAAUGACACCAACAACUAUGAAAGAAAAAUCUUUUUGGUAUUUUUGUGAAAUGUACGAAACUCCUACAAAUUUUUUUUGCAUUUUUCUUUUAUAAAAACUUCUAUGAAUGAAAAAUCUUUUUGAAGUUUUCGAAUUGUGAAUACAUGCUAACGAGACAAAGGAAAAAUCUUUUUGAUGUUUUUGUUUUUGAGAAAUAAGUGCAAAAGGUAAAAAUCUUUUUGAAUUUUUGGAUUGUGAAGAACAAAAGCCAUAAAGAACUCUAAAAAUAAACCACUAAACUCUAUUUUUGACUCACUAUUUUUUUAACGCACCUUUUAACACAUACUUUCCUCGAAUCAGUCCGUCAAAUGACCACGUUACCCUCAAAGAUGCAGCAUUUAACACAUAGGGAUGCUUUACAGGUGAGUCUCCUACAAAGGACCAAAUGGGCCCCACUAUGACCUAAAGGCUGACCUACGCUGGGGUUUACUAACAAGGCUAUUCGGGGGUGCGUAUGGUCGAUAGUGGCUGCGAAAGCUUUCCACCCACUCCAUAACACCAACGGCUCCCCCUACUAAAAUAAGGGUGACUCAACUAGUGUUCGUGUGCACGACGUGCACUCUGGGACUUGUUGCAAAAAGAAUGACUCGGGUUUUGCACAUGAUGCCAGAUAUAAAGCGGUAACACAUAAGCUAAAAAUUGUAAACAAAGAGCACGUAGGCAUUCAACAAUGAUAAAACAAUAACACAAAACAACACAAACACAAUGUCUAUACACCUAUAGUGCCAAACUAAGCCGAUACAACUCCAAAAUAAGCUCGAAUUCUGAAAAAAUAUCCCAGCAGAGUCACCGGAGCUGUCACACCCUCUUUUUAACCCCAAAAAGAUUAGAUUUAGGUUUGAAAGGGUUUUUACUAUCAAAGUGACGAAGAAUGAAAAUUUAUUUUGAAAAAGAAUUAUUUAUAUUUUUUUAUUCAGAGUUGCCACUUGACAUAAAUCAGGUGUGCCAAGUCACCUUUGAAAAUUCUUUUCAAAAUAUUUUUGACUCUAUAACUGAUCCGCGAACAGAGAUUCUGACUAAGGAAUUCUGUUGACCAAGGGGAAGGUGUUAGGCACCCCUCGGUCCCGUGGUUCGACCACAGUCGCUUGGUAGAGCGUAUCGGCUAAUUUGACAUUACCAAUGUAUAAACCACACAAAACACAUAAAACAAUCAAUCGAGCACACAAAACAAAACAAAUCCAAAAUAUAGUAUUCAGUCCAAUUAUACAGACCCAAAAAAUGAAAAAUACGGAAAUGUAAACCUACUCUAUUCUUAACUAAUCCUAAACUAAUCCUAAACCAAAAUCCACCCGAUGUUUCGGGCCUUGACCGUGCGCCGUCUUUGAGUACAAGAUAUUUCGGGGCAUUCCCCGGAUAAAUCAAUACAAAUUCUUUGAGGCAUUCCCCGGAUAAAUCAAUACAAAUUCUUUGAGGCAUUCCCCGGCCAAAUGAGUACAAUUUUUAAUACGAGAAAAUCAAAGUAUUCAACCGAAUUUCAAACAUUCAACAAACUCAAAGAUUCUAAACUUUGCCUACCCAACCUACGUUUGCCUAUCAUGAUACUAUCAAGUUUGAUUAAUAUUGCAUUUCAAGUCAAACAAUAAGCCAUGAAUCAGACCAACCAAAAUUCACUUUUUAUCAACUUCUCAAUUCCUCCCCAAAUAACCAAUUUUUAUUCUAAAAUGAGAUACCAUUUCAUCACAUAAUCCAAAAUAAAUCUAUAUUCAAAGGGAUCAAGAAACAAUAAAUAACAAAAAAUAAUUCACAUCAUCACAGAUCAACCAAACCAACACAAUAUUCAAUCCAAUGCAUAGGAUAUCAUCAAUAAUGAAAUAAAAAGAGGUGAAAGAGUAGAAUUAGACCUCAUUUGAAGCUUUAUUUUUUUUUUCAAUUAAACAGAAUAGCUUCGCGGAUUAGGAACCUCGAGCUAGCCCAACCUCAAAUAUCAAUCUCCAACUCGGUAUCAGAAGUUGAAACCCGAAUAGAUUUGAAGAAGAAAUUUCAAAGCCAAACUGAGACUAAAUUUACGAAAGACCAAGCAAUUCGUACUUGCUAUCACGAACUCUCACCGAAAUUGACUUAAAUGUUGUCGAACUCUACCCAACAAGGCCGAUCUUAGAUAAUUUUGGUGGCUGGUUUGGAUUUUGACGAUGCAAAGAAUGGGUUUCGAGUCGGUGAUGUUGAAUCAGAUGCAUAGCGCGUGUUCCAGCGAGAUAGCUGCCAAAAAAAUUUGACACUAAUCGGAUCUUCGCCCAAACUUUUCUCUCUCUCUCUUCGCUAGUCUCUCUCUUUGUUAUUCUCUCUGUAUGUCUCACUCGAUCUAACGAAACUCGCUUUGCUCAACCUCUUCUCUACUUUCAGUCAAUUUUAUCCCAUUUUUUAUUCUCCAAUCCGAUGUGCGAGUGAGUGUAUUGGUUUAUUUCUGGGCGUGAGGUUGCUAUGGGGGUACGCUGGUGAGGGUAUUGAUGGUGAGGCAGCCUUUCCCUUUUCUUUUAUGAAGAUGAUGGAGUUUCUAUGUAACGUCGUGGGAGUGUAGGAGUGUAGGAGUGUAAUUGUUGUUGGAAUCCUUCUCUGUGGGCCCAUUUGUGAAAUGAUUAUGUUUGAUGUACUAUUGUUGUUAUGAAUGGAAAACAAAUAUAGUAGUGUAUUAGGUGAGUUCAGAGAGUUGUUUGAUUAGGUGGGGUAGGUGGGUAGGGGUAGGGUAGGAGGUAGGUAGGGAGAGGUAAAAAUGAGUAGAAAUUAAUAUUUGGGUGGAUAAAAUUAUGUGUCUACAUAUAUUAUAUUUAAAAUUAUGAUUUUA